AUUGAACGCUGGCGGCAGGCCUAACACAUGCAAGUCGAACGAGUGGCGGACGGGUGAGUAAUGGCUGGGAAACUGCCCGAUGGCGGGGGAUAACUACUAGAAACGGUAGCUAAUACCGCAUACCCUCAGAUGUGCCCAGAUGGGAUUAGCUAGUAGGUGGGGUAACGGCGCACCUGGGCGACCAUCCCUAGCUGGUCUAAGAGGAUGACACGCCACUCUGGAACUGAGACACGGUCCAGCUUCCUACGGGAGGCAGCAGUGGGGAAUAGUGCACAAUGGGCGCAAGCCUGAUGCAGCCAUGCCGCGUGUAUGAAGCAGGCCUUCGGGUUGUAAAGUACUUUCAGCGAGGAGGCGUUACUCGCAGAAGAAGCACCGGCUAACUCCGUGCCAGCAGCCGCGGUAAUAC
rnacentral:rRNA from 1 species